rnacentral:tRNA from 1 species
GGACCCGUAGCUCAGCUGGAUAGAGCAGCCGCCUCUUAAGCGGACGGUUGGAGGUUCGAUUCCUCUCGGGUCCACCU